rnacentral:rRNA from 1 species
UACGUAGGGUGCAAGCGUUGUCCGGAAUUAUUGGGCGUAAAGAGCUCGUAGGCGGUUUGUUGCGUCGGCUGUGAAAUCCCGAGGCUCAACCUCGGGUCUGCAGUCGAUACGAGCAAACUAGAGUGUUGCAGGGGAGACUGGAAUUCCUGGUGUAGCGGUGAAAUGCGCAGAUAUCAGGAGGAACACCGGUGGCGAAGGCGGGUCUCUGGGCAACAA